rnacentral:rRNA from 1 species
AUUGAACGCUGGCGGCAGGCUUAACACAUGCAAGUCGAGCGAGGGGAGGAAGGGUGAGUAAUGUCUGGGAAAGUCCAUGAUGGCGGGGGAUAACUACUGGAACCGGUAGCUAAUACCGCAUACCAUCAGAUGUGCCCAGAUGGGAUUAGCUAGUAGGUGGGGUAAUGGCUCACCUAGGCGACGAUCCCUAGCUGGUCUGAGAGGAUGACCAGCAACACUGGAACUGAGCAACGGUCCAGACUCCUACGGGAGGCAGCAGUGGGGAAUAUUUGACAAUGGGAGCAAGCCACAUGCCGCCAUGCCGCGUGUGUGAAGAAGGCCGUCGGGUUGUAAAGCACUUUCAGCGAGAAGGCGUUACUCUCAAAAAAAGCACCGGCUAACUCCGUGCCAGCCGCCGCGGUAAUAC